UGCUCACUUCUUCAGCAAUAUACUAAAAUUGGAAUGAUACAGGAAAGAUUAGCAUGGCCCCUGUGCAAGAAUAACAGGCAAAUGUGUGAAGCGUUCCAUAUUCCC